rnacentral:rRNA from 1 species
UACGGAGGGGUGCAGCGUUGUCCGGAAUCACUGGGCGUAAAGGGCGCGUAGGCGGCCUGGUAAGUAGGGGGUGAAAUCCUGCGGCUUAACCGCAGGGCUGCCUUCUAAACUGUCAGGCUUGAGCACGGUAGAGGCAGAUGGAAUUCCCGGUGUAGCGGUGGAAUGCGCAGAUAUCAGGAGGAACACCGGUGGCGAAGGCGGGACUCUGGGCCGAUACUGACGCUGGAGGAGCGAAAGCGUGGGGAGCAAACAGG